UACGUAGGGGGGCUAGCGUUGUCCGGAAUCAUUGGGCGUAAAGAGCGUGUAGGCGGUCCGGUAAGUCCGCUGUGAAAGUCGGGGGCUCAACCCUCGAAUGCCGGUGGAUACUGUCGGGCUAGAGUACGGAAGAGGCGAGUGGAAUUCCUGGUGUAGCGGUGAAAUGCGCAGAUAUCAGGAGGAACACCAAUGGCGAAGGCGGCGAUCUGGGAAGAUACUGACGUGAGGUGCGAAAAGCGUGGGGGGAGCAAAACAGG
rnacentral:rRNA from 1 species